AGCCAAGACGGGGAACCAAUACCAGGCACUCCUGUUAGGUGCCUGCCGACAGAGAACAAAGCUUGUGAAUAAAUCUGACAUCAUGCCUAUCUCCACAGAAUUUAAGAUUUAAUGAGAAAGGGAGGCAAAGAAGAUGUUAGAAGCAAACACAUUAUGACCAACUGUGACAAGUGCGAUGAUGGAAACUAAAAGAAUGAGCCAUCCAGGGCUGAACUGGCAGCUCCUCAGCUCUCCUCUCCACUGUCGCUAGAGUGCAGCUCCCUCCUCAGGAUGAUCUCGUGAUUGCAACACGACUGAAGCAGCCCUGGGUGGGUCUUCAGCGUGUCUUCACUCCAGGCAGGAAGAUUAGCCCUGAGCUAACAUCCACUGCCAAUCCUCCUCUUUUUGCUGAGGAAGACUGGCCCUGAGCUAACAUCCAUGCCCAUCUUCCUCUACUUUAUAUGUGGGAUGCCUACCACAGCAGGGCUUGCCAAGUAGUGCCAUGUCCAACCCGGGAUCCAAACCUGCAAACCCCUGGCCACCAAAGCGGAACGUUUUCACUUAACUGCUUCGCCACCUGGCCGGCCCUGUCAUGUGCUCUUGAGAGCGGUUGAUGAGUCUUGCUCUGCACCACGGUGGAUUGAAGUGAGACGUUAAGACCUUCCGAAAUGAACUCUUUACUGAGACAAUGAAUUUGCUGUAAAUUUUUCAGAGGAGACAUACAGCAUUUUGGAAAGCUUGGAAUCAAUUACACUAAAGGUGACAGUUACAUCAUCCUGAAAGAACAGGAAAAGCUGCUAUGAUGAGAAACUCUGCAGCAAAGGGACCCAACCUUUGCAAGUUUACAAGUCGUUGGAUUUCAAAUGGCAUGAAAGGAAGCCCUUUGGGCCGGAAGUUGACAUGUCAUUCUGUAGCCCUUAGCCUGACCUUCUCCAAACAUCAGGUCCCACACAAAGACACUCUGCUUCAAAUGACUUUUUUACCUCCAGGCUGGUAACCCUAUCGUCUUCCUGAAUGACACCUCCGCCACAUCCACUCUUGUCAGGAAGGAAGCCUUUUCAUUCCUUGAAGCUCAAAGCCAGUAAUGUUCUUCACAGUGACCUUGAGGGGUGGCUCACCCCCUAGUCCUUGCCAACUACAGAUUAAUUUCUAUUGUUUAGCCCAGAGGAACCUGUCAGGGAACUGUGGAUCCACGUAAGCUCUCUGAUGGGCUAAAGUCAGUUUAAAUUUAUUUGCAGAUGAACUUAUUUGUGAAGGAUAUUUUGAUGGGAAUUAUAGGCUAUUUAAAACUCUCUCUGUUAGAAAAAUAGUGCGAAAUUUCAGUAGAGAUGAAUAUAUUUGCCUCCACGGAAGGACUGCAAAAUUAUUAAAUGAAAAAAAAUGGAGGUUAAACUGUUCUAUUUUGUUAACUAAACCAAGAGAAACACAGCCAAAGACUAGAUUUGAAGGCUGGCCUCAAAUAGUUUCCUGUAAUGAAAAUUGGGAUGAGAGAAACAAUCCAAACUCAAAGAGAACCAACCUUGAUUUAAAUAAAGCUGUUG
rnacentral:lncRNA from 1 species